UGCCAGAUGGUCCCUGUCUCGCAGGA
rnacentral:piRNA from 1 species